rnacentral:tRNA from 1 species
GGAGCCGUGGUGUAGUCGGUUAACACACCUGCCUGUCACGCAGGAGAUCGCGAGUUCGAGUCUCGUCGGCUCCGCCA